rnacentral:rRNA from 1 species
GACGAACGCUGGCGGCGUGCCUAAUACAUGCAAGUCGAACGCAGUGGGGACGGGUGAGUAACACGUGGGUAACCUCCCAUCAGAGGGGAUAACACUUGGAAACAGGUGCUAAACCGAUACUGAUGGAUGGACCCGCGGUUCAUUAGCUAGUUGGUGAGGUAACGGCUCACCAAGGCCACGAUGCAUAGCCGACCGUAGAGGGGUAUCGGCCACACGUGGAUUGAGACACGGCCCAGACUCCUACGGUGGGCAGGCGUAGGGAAUCUGCGGCAAUGGACGAAAGUCUGACCGAGCAACGUCGCGUGAGUGUAGUAGGUUUUCGGAUCGUAAAACUCUGUUGUGAGAGAAGCGGUAUCUAACCAGAAAGCCACGGCUAACUACGUGCCAGCCGCCGCGGUAAUAC